AUCUGGAAAAGAGAACCCUGAGGCAGGAACAAGUCGUUAAUUGCAUGUGCGUUUGUCCACAGCUCACCAUGAGUCAGGCCCUGUGCUAGGUGCUGGGAUGAAGCAGUGACUGACACAGGCCUGGACCUGUCCUUGGGAAGAGUGCGUCUGUGACACAGAUACUGUGCCAUGUGGCAAAUUCAAGGCCCGCAUAGGAACCACCUCCUGCCUGACUGAACCGGGACCUACGUCUUUUCUUGCCUUCAGACUUGAAUGGAGACAUCAGCUCUUUGUGGGUCUCAAGUCUACUGGCUUUCAAUCAGCUCUUCUGCUUGACAGCUGCAGGUCUUGGGACUGCCCAGCCCCCAUAACCCUGUGAGUGCAUUCCUGAUAAUAACCCUCUUUCUCUUGUCCUCCCCCACCCCACAUCAUUGGUUCUGUUUCUCUGGAGAACCAUAAUACAUCAUUUACUAAUCAGGAAAUAGAUUCAGAGACAUUAAUAACUCAUCCAACCUCACAGUUAACUGUAGAGUUGGGCUUGAAAUUCCAAGGUCGAUUUUCU
rnacentral:lncRNA from 1 species